GACGAGGGGUGCAAACGUUAUUCGGAAUGAUUGGGCGUAAAGGGUGCGCAGGCGGCGCGCUAAGUCAACUGUAAAAUUCCCCAGCCUAACUGGGGUCCUGCAGUAGAAACUGGUGCGCUAGAGGAUGGAAGAGAGAAGUGGAAUUCUCGGAGUAGCGGUAAAAUGCGUAGAUCUCGAGAGGAACACCGAUGGCGAAGGCAGCUUCUUGGUCCAUUUCUGACGCUCAUGCACGAAAGCGUGGGGAGCAAACAGG
rnacentral:rRNA from 1 species